GUAACUCUUAGUCAACCUGCCCUGGAGACAUGGACAACCCCGGGAAACUGGGAUUAAUCCGUGAUAGGUCAUCUCAUCUGGAAGGAGAGAUGGCUUAAAGGGAUGCGCGGGCUUCUUCUGCGUAUUUGCUCCAGGAUGGGACUGCGUCCGAUCAGGCUGUUGGCGGGGUAAUGGCCCACCAAGCCAGUAACCGGUACGGGCCUUGAGAGAGGUGGCCCGGAGAUGGACACUGAGAGAAGGGUCCAGGUCCUACGGGGCGCAGCAGGCGCGAAACCUUCGCAAUGCGCGCAAGCGUGACGAGGUUAAUCCGAGUGAUUUCCGCUGAGGAGACCUUUUGUCUGCUGUAAAUAGGCAGGCGAAUAAGGGGAGGGCAAGCCUGGUGUCAGCCGCCGCGGUAAUACCAGCUCCUCGAGUGGUCGGGGCGAUUAUUGGGCCUAAAGCAUCCGUAGCCGGUUCCGUAGGUCCUCUGUUAAAUCCACCGCCCACGGUUGACCUGCAGAGGAUACCGCGAGACU
rnacentral:rRNA from 1 species